rnacentral:rRNA from 1 species
GACGUAGGGCGCGAGCGUUGUCCGGAUUUAUUGGGCGUAAAGAGCUCGUAGGCGGCUUGUCGCGUCGACUGUGAAAUCCCGCGGCUCAACUGCGGGUCUGCAGUCGAUACGGGCAGGCUAGAGUUCGGUAGGGGAGACUGGAAUUCCUGGUGUAGCGGUGAAAUGCGCAGAUAUCAGGAGGAACACCGGUGGCGAAGGCGGGGUCUCUGGGACGGUACUGACGCUGAGACGCGAAAGCGUGGGGAGCGAACAGG